rnacentral:rRNA from 1 species
CGUGUAGGCGGCUUGGUAAGUCGGGUGUGAAAUCCCGAGGCUCAACCUCGGAACUGCACCCGAAACUGCCUAGCUUGAGUCCCGGAGAGGGUGGCGGAAUUUCCGGUGUAGAGGUGAAAUUCGUAGAUAUCGGAAGGAACACCAGUGGCGAAGGCGGCCACCUGGACGGUGACUGACGCUGAGACGCGAAGGCGUGGGGAGCAAACAGGAUUAGAUACCCUGGUAGUCC